rnacentral:rRNA from 1 species
UACGGGGGGGGCAAGCGUUGUUCGGAAUUACUGGGCGUAAAGGGCUCGUAGGUGGCCAACUAAGUCAGACGUGAAAUCCCUCAGCUUAACUGGGGAACUGCGUCUGAUACUGGAUGGCUUGAGUUUGGGAGAGGGAUGCGGAAUUCCAGGUGUAGCGGUGAAAUGCGUAGAUAUCUGGAGGAACACCGAUGGCGAAGGCAGGUCUCUGGGCAUUAACUGACGCUGAGGAGCGAAAGCAUGGGGAGCGAACAGGG